rnacentral:tRNA from 1 species
UGGGGGAUCGUCUAAUGGUAGGACAGUGGCCUUUGAAGCCAUCAAUUGGGGUUCGAAUCCCUGUCCCCCAG